GAUGAACGCUGGCGGCGUGCCUAAUACAUGCAAGUCGAGCGAACAGAUGAGGAGCUUGCUCCUCUGACGUUAGCGGCGGACGGGUGAGUAACACGUGGAUAACCUACCUAUAAGACUGGGAUAACUUCGGGAAACCGGAGCUAAUACCGGAUAAUAUAUUGAACCGCAUGGUUCAAUAGUGAAAGACGGUUUUGCUGUCACUUAUAGAUGGAUCCGCGCCGCAUUAGCUAGUUGGUAAGGUAACGGCUUACCAAGGCAACGAUGCGUAGCCGACCUGAGAGGGUGAUCGGCCACACUGGAACUGAGACACGGUCCAGACGCCUACGGGAGGCAGCAGUAGGGAAUCUUACGCAAUGGGCGAGAGCAUGACGGAGCAACGCCGCGUGAGUGAUGAAGGUCUUCGGAUCGUAAAACUCUGUUAUUAGGGAAGAACAAAUGUGUAAGUAACUAUGCACGUCUUGACGGUACCUAAUCAGAAAGCCACGGCUAACUACGUG
rnacentral:rRNA from 1 species